AAAUAAUUUUUGUUUGCAAUGCAAAAAUCAAUAUAAAUCUUGUGAGGCGCGGUGUUCAACUUUAGUCAGCGCCAAGCGCUUAUCGAGGGAGGACGUAUCGCUCGCUGUUGCGCCGCGCAAACUCGCCGGAGCUCGAAAAAUAUAGCGCAACCUGCGCAACGAACUCGUUUUGAUACUAGAUAAUGAAAGCAUAUUUAAUUCAGAUUAUCAGACUCAAUCGGAUACCAGUACAAAUAAUAUGGAAAAUGAAGAUACAAUACAUGGAAGACGAAUUAUAGAUUUUAGUUUUUUUUAUAAAUCAAUUACUUAUACCUAAUUGAUAAACAUGGUGAAAAGUUUGGUUGUCGAUUAAAUAAUUUAAAAAUUGUAAACGAUUAUUUGUUU
rnacentral:lncRNA from 1 species